UGCUCGAGUGGCGAACGGGUGAGUAACACGUGAGUAACCUGCCCUUGACUUUGGGAUAACUUCAGGAAACUGGGGCUAAUACCGGAUAGGAGCUCCUGCUGCAUGGUGGGGGUUGGAAAGUUUCGGCGGUUGGGGAUUGACUCUCGGCUUAUCAGCUUGUUGGUGGGGUAGUGGCUUACCAAGGCUUUGACGGGUAGCCGGCCUGAGAGGGUGACCGGCCACAUUGGGACUGAGAUACGGCCCAG
rnacentral:rRNA from 1 species